UGAACGCUAGCUACAGGCUUAACACAUGCAAGUCGAGGGGCAGCAUGGUCUUAGCUUGCUAAGGCCGAUGGCGACCGGCGCACGGGUGAGUAACACGUAUCCAACCUGCCGUCUACUCUUGGACAGCCUUCUGAAAGGAAGAUUAAUACAAGAUGGCAUCAUGAGUCCGCAUGUUCACAUGAUUAAAGGUAUUCCGGUAGACGAUGGGGAUGCGUUCCAUUAGAUAGUAGGCGGGGUAACGGCCCACCUAGUCUUCGAUGGAUAGGGGUUCUGAGAGGAAGGUCCCCCACAUUGGAACUGAGACACGGUCCAAACUCCUACGGGAGGCAGCAGUGAGGAAUAUUGGUCAAUGGGCGAGAGCCUGAACCAGCCAAGUAGCGUGAAGGAUGACUGCCCUAUGGGUUGUAAACUUCUUUUAUAAAGGAAUAAAGUCGGGUAUGGAUACCCGUUUGCAUGUACUUUAUGAAUAAGGAUCGGCUAACUCCGUGCCAGCAGCCGCGGUAACACGGAGGAUCCGAGCGUUAUCCGGAUUUAUUGGGUUUAAAGGGAGCGUAGAUGGAUGUUUAAGUCAGUUGUGAAAGUUUGCGGCUCAACCGUAAAAUUGCAGUUGAUACUGGAUAUCUUGAGUGCAGUUGAGGCAGGCGGAAUUCGUGGUGUAGCGGUGAAAUGCUUAGAUAUCACGAAGAACUCCGAUUGCGAAGGCAGCCUGCUAAGCUGCAACUGACAUUGAGGCUCGAAAGUGUGGGUAUCAAACAGGAUUAGAUACCCUGGUAGUCCACACGGUAAACGAUGAAUACUCGCUGUUUGCGAUAUACUGCAAGCGGCCAAGCGAAAGCGUUAAGUAUUCCACCUGGGGAGUACGCCGGCAACGGUGAAACUCAAAGGAAUUGACGGGGGCCCGCACAAGCGGAGGAACAUGUGGUUUAAUUCGAUGAUACGCGAGGAACCUUACCCGGGCUUAAAUUGCAGAUGAAUUACGGUGAAAGCCGUAAGCCGCAAGGCAUCUGUGAAGGUGCUGCAUGGUUGUCGUCGGCUCGUGCCGUGAGGUGUCGGCUUAAGUGCCAUAACGAGCGCAACCCUUGUUGUCAGUUACUAACAGGUUCCGCUGAGGACUCUGACAAGACUGCCAUCGUAAGAUGUGAGGAAGGUGGGGAUGACGUCAAAUCAGCACGGCCCUUACGUCCGGGGCUACACACGUGUUACAAUGGGGGGUACAGAGGGCCGCUACCACGCGAGUGGAUGCCAAUCCCCAAAACCUCUCUCAGUUCGGACUGGAGUCUGCAACCCGACUCCACGAAGCUGGAUUCGCUAGUAAUCGCGCAUCAGCCACGGCGCGGUGAAUACGUUCCCGGGCCUUGUACACACCGCCCGUCAAGCCAUGGGAGCCGGGGGUACCUGAAGUGCGUAACCGCGAGGAGCGCCCUAGGGUAAAACUGGUGACUGGGGC
rnacentral:rRNA from 1 species